CGGGGGGGCAAGCGUUGUUCGGAAUUACUGGGCGUAAAGGGCUCGUAGGCGGCCAACUAAGUCAAACGUGAAAUCCCUCGGCUUAACCGGGGAACUGCGCUUGAUACUGGAUGGCUUGAGAUUGGGAGAGGGAUGCGGAAUUCCAGGUGUAGCGGUGAAAUGCGUAAAUAUCUGGAGGAACACCGGUGGCGAAGGCGGCAUCCUGGACCAACACUGACGCUGAGUGAGCGAAAGCCAGGGGAGCAAACGGGAUUAGAUACCCCGGUAGUCCUGGCCCUAAACGAUGAAUGCUUGGUGUGGCGGGUAUCGAUCCCUGCCGUGCCGAAGCUAACGCAUUAAGCAUUCCGCCUGGGGAGUACGGUCGCAAGGCUG
rnacentral:rRNA from 1 species